rnacentral:rRNA from 1 species
AUUCCGGUUGAUCCUGCCGGAGGCCAUUGCUAUCGGAGUCCGAUUUAGCCAUGCUAGUUGCACGAGUUGAGACUCGUAGCAUAUAGCUCAGUAACACGUGGCCAAACUACCCUACAGACCGCGAUAACCUCGGGAAACUGAGGCCAAUAGCGGAUAUCACUCUCAGGCUGGAGUGCCGAGAGUGAGAAACGUUCCGGCGCUGUAGGAUGUGGCUGCGGCCGAUUAGGUAGAUGGUGGGGUAACGGCCCACCAUGCCGAUAAUCGGUACAGGUUGUGAGAGCAAGAGCCUGGAGACGGUAUCUGAGACAAGAUACCGGGCCCUACGGGGCGCAGCAGGCGCGAAACCUUUACACUGCACGACAGUGCGAUAGGGGGACUCCGAGUGCGAGGGCAUAUAGCCCUCGCUUUUCUGAACCGUAAGGUGGUUCAGGAACAAGGACUGGGCAAGACCGGUGCCAGCCGCCGCGGUAAUACCGGCAGUCCGAGUGAUGGCCGAUAUUAUUGGGCCUAAAGCGUCCGUAGCUUGCUGUGUAAGUCCAUUGGGAAAUCGACCAGCUCAACUGGUCGGCGUCCGGUGGAAACUACACAGCUUGGGGCCGAGAGACUCAACGGGUACGUCCGGGGUAGGAGUGAAAUCCUGUAAUCCUGGACGGACCACCAAUGGGGAAACCACGUUGAGAGACCGGACCCGACAGUGAGGGACGAAAGCCAGGGUCUCGAACCGGAUUAGAUACCCGGGUAGUCCUGGCUGUAAACAAUGCUCGCUAGGUAUGUCACGCGCCAUGAGCACGUGAUGUGCCGUAGUGAAGACGAUAAGCGAGCCGCCUGGGAAGUACGUCCGCAAGGAUGAAACUUAAAGGAAUUGGCGGGGGAGCACCACAACCGGAGGAGCCUGCGGUUUAAUUGGACUCAACGCCGGACAUCUCACCGGUCCC